UACAUGCUUGAGAGUUGCUAGUUUUGUUCCAGAGAUUGUAUGAUGUUGAUGAGAAGUUGCACAUUUUAAGUGGACUUUCUAUUUCUGAUGUGAAGUCAUUUAUUCCUCAGCUUUGGUCCAAGGUGUACAUUGAAAGCCUCUGUCAUGGAAAUUUGUCAGAAAAAGAAGCAAUCAGGCUUUCAGAUAUAUUUAAAACAAAUUUUGGUGUACAACCACUUCCAAUUGAACUGAUGCGUAGUGAACAGUCUUCAAAUUGAGCGGGAAUUGAGGAUCGAGUCCCCUAGAUUGAGAGCCGUGUUAGAUCUUUUCAAUGAAAUUGUGGAGGAACCACUUUUCAAUCAGCUAAGGACGAAGGAGCAGCUUGGUUGUACUGUUCAUUGUGGCCCGUGGGUUACUUGCAAUACAUUUGGAUUUUAUUUUUGCGUUCAGUCAGCUGAGGACAACCCGAUCUACUUGCAAAGGAGAGUUGAGAACUUUAUAAAUAGACUGGAGGAGUUGUUGCAAUGACUGGAUGAUGUCUCUUUUGAGAAUUACAGAGCUGGACCAAUUGCAAAGCUAUUGGAGAAAGAUCCAUCCCUCCAUUAUGAAACCAAUCGAUAUUGGUUACAGAUUACCGAUAAAAUGUAGUGUAUAUAUCCUCUCUGCCUGCUGGAAGCUUUGCCUAGACCUUUCUAAUGCUCGAGCUCUGAACUAUUCAAAUAAAUGUUGAUCUGCAAGUAUAUGUUUGACUAUACAAAACAGGAAGCAGAACAACUCAGAAGCAUUCAGAAGGACGAUGUCAUGAACUGGUACAAAAACAAAUUUGCAACAGUCAUCUCCCAAGUGUCGGAGACUGACUUGCAAUUCAUGUUUGGGGAUGCGAAACAGACUUGAAAUAUGCUGAAGCACGGCCGGAGUCUGUACAAGUCAUUGAAGACCUUACAGCCUUUAAGAUGCCUUUAAAAAUGCUCAUUAAUUUGUUGAAAAUUUAUAGAUGGUUUCUGAAUUUUUGAUGGAAACUGAGCAUUUUGAGGUCUUAUUGUUUGCCAGGUAUUAUUUGCGUUGAUUACAACCCACCUGGGCGAUGAAAGUGAAAAUCGAAACCAUUGUAGAUACAUUGAUAUAAAAAUUAUAUUGAUUCACUCAAUUUUUUUAGUGAAAAUAUAUUGCUGCCUGCUGGUUUUUUUUUUUU